GUGUGUAAGGUAUGUGGUGUGUGACAUAUGUGUGAUACGUGUGUGGCAUCUGUGUAAGGUAUGUGUGGUGUGUGGUGUGUGUAUGUGUGUGGCAUGUGUGUAAGGUAUGUGUGUCUUGUGUGUGAUGUGUGUGUAAUACGUGUGUGUAAGGUGUGUGUGAUGUGUGUGAUACAUGUGUGUAAGGUGUGUAUGGUGUGUGAUGUAUGUGUGAUAUGUGUGUGGCAUGUGUGUAAGGUAUGUGUGUCAUGUGUGAUGUGUGUGAGAUACGUGUGUGUAAGGUAUGUGUGUCGUGUGUGAUGUGUA
rnacentral:lncRNA from 1 species